rnacentral:lncRNA from 1 species
ACUAAAAAGGGGAGGGUGCGCAAGGAGACGCACCCCCUUUUAUUUUUGCAUGCGUGAAAGGAAGGGACGUCAAUAGUUGGCAUCCCACUCCUUCUGAGAUAUUCUUUCUUCCUGAUUCUAUUCUUAUUUGAAUUUGAUUCAAAAUAGGAUCAAAUCUUAUCAGAUGAGGCAUUGGAUUCCUUUCUUUGUAUGACAAAAAUGGAAUGUAAAGGUGGGUGUGUGGUAUUGAAAGGAAUUGGAUUCCUUGUUGCCAAUAAUUAUUCUUUGCACC